GGAUGAACGCUAGCGGGAGGCUUAACACAUGCAAGUCGAGGGGCAGCAUAGGGUAGCAAUACUCUGAUGGCGACCGGCAAACGGGUGAGUAACGCGUAUGCAACCUACCCUGUACAGGGGGAUAACCCGGAGAAAUUCGGACUAAUAUCCCGUAAUAAUAUCCGGAGGCAUCUUUGGAUAUUUAAAGUUCCGACGGUACGGGAUGGGCAUGCGUAACAUUAGCUGGUUGGUAAGGUAACGGCUUACCAAGGCUAUGAUGUUUAGGGGUCCUGAGAGGGUGGUCCCCCACACUGGUACUGAGACACGGACCAGACUCCUACGGGAGGCAGCAGUGAGGAAUAUUGGUCAAUGGGCGCAAGCCUGAACCAGCCAUCCCGCGUGCAGGAAGACGGCCCUAUGGGUUGUAAACUGCUUUUCCAGGGAGAGAAACUUACGCACGUGUUGCGUGACUGACGGUACCCUGGGAAUAAGCAUCGGCUAACUCCGUGCCAGCAGCCGCGGUAAUACGGAGGAUGCAAGCGUUAUCCGGAUUCAUUGGGUUUAAAGGGUGCGUAGGCGGGCUAUUAAGUCAGUGGUGAAAUCCUGCAGCUUAACUGCAGAACUGCCGUUGAUACUGAUAGUCUUGAGUUUGGUUAAGGUAGGCGGAAUGUGUAAUGUAGCGGUGAAAUGCUUAGAUAUUACACAGAACACCAAUUGCGUAGGCAGCUUACUGAGCCGACACUGACGCUGAGGCACGAAAGCGUGGGGAUCAAACAGGAUUAGAUACCCUGGUAGUCCACGCCGUAAACGAUGAUUACUCGCUGUUGGCGAUGCACUGUCAGCGGCUAAGCAAAAGCAAUAAGUAAUCCACCUGGGGAGUACGGCCGCAAGGUUGAAACUUAAAGGAAUUGGCGGGGGUCCGCACAAGCGGCGGAGCAUGUGGUUUAAUUCGAUGCUGCCCGAAGAACCUUACCAGGGUUUGACAUGCUGGUGGUAGGAACCUGAAAGGGGGACGACCCAACCGUAAGGGAGGGAGCCAGCACAGGUGUUGCAUGGCUGUCGUCAGCUCGUGCCGUGAGGUGUCGGCUUAAGUGCCGUAACGAGCGCAACCCUCAUCCCUAAUUGCUCCUGGCAGAUAAAAGGGUCAGAGCACAAUAGGGAGACCGCUGGCGAAGAGCCAGAGGAAGGGGAGGAUGACGUCAAGUCAGCAUGGCCUUUAUGCCCUGGGCUACACACAUGCUACAAUGCAGGGUACAACGGGAAGCGAAGCCGCGAGGUGGAGCAAAUCCCCAAAAGCCCUGCUCAGUUCGGAUCGCACGCUGCAAUUCGCGUGCGUGAAGUCGGAGUCGCUAGUAACCGUGGAUCAGCAAAGCCGCGGUGAAUACGUUCUCGGGCCU
rnacentral:rRNA from 1 species